rnacentral:tRNA from 1 species
GGCCAGGUAGCUCAGUCGGUAGAGCAGGGGAUUGAAAAUCCCCGUGUCGGCGGUUCGAUUCCGUCCCUGGCCA